AAUAGAUACCCUGGUAGUCCACGCCGUAAACGGUGGGCACUAGGUGUGGGCGACAUUCCACGUCGUCCGUGCCGCAGCUAACGCAUUAAGUGCCCCGCCUGGGGAGUACGGCCGCAAGGCUAAAACUCAAAGGAAUUGACGGAGGCCCGCACAAGCGGCGGAGCAUGUGGCUUAAUUCGACGCAACGCGAAGAACCUUACCAAGGCUUGACAUACACCGGAAACGUCCAGAGAUGGGCGCCCCCUUGUGGUCGGUGUACAGGUGGUGCAUGGCUGUCGUCAGCUCGUGUCGUGAGAUGUUGGGUUAAGUCCCGCAACGAGCGCAACCCUUGUCCCGUGUUGCCAGCAGGCCCUUGUGGUGCUGGGGACUCACGGGAGACCGCCGGGGUCAACUCGGAGGAAGGUGGGGACGACGUCAAGUCAUCAUGCCCCUUAUGUCUUGGGCUGCACACGUGCUACAAUGGCCGGUACAAUGAGCUGCGAUACCGCGAGGUGGAGCGAAUCUCAAAAAGCCGGUCUCAGUUCGGAUUGGGGU
rnacentral:rRNA from 1 species